GUAGGUAUAGAUUAGUGGUAGAGCACAUGCUUAGCGUGCACAAGGUCCUGGGUUCAAUCCCCAGUACCUCCA
rnacentral:tRNA from 1 species